CGGGUUAUGAUUUUCUUCAAAAUUGUUAAUAGUGCAAGGACUUGUACCUGCAAAAUUUAUAUUUUGUUCCCAUAAAAAAAUUUGUAUGGUAAGAUAUAUCUUUAGCCAACAAAGUAAUUUGGUAUUCAUUACUCCCGCUCGUAUUUUCAGAUCGGUACCCACUAAAAGCAUUUGCUGACUCCUUGAAAGAAGCGGCCGAACAAACAUGGACAAACUGCCUCAUUCAAGCCCGAUCCCGAGUCAAGCAUCGUCGUCAUCACUGCAGCGCCACCAGAGUGAUAUGGAGGAAGACGACGAGACGGUUAAGCAGAUGAAAGAAUCUCUUCUUACUAUUUAGUUCUACAUUUAUAUACGUACAUUAUGUAUCUAUAUAUACGGUAGCAUAUCAUUAUCAUUUUCUAUCUUAAACCCUAAACUCUGAAAACCUAUCAAUUUAGACUGCAGGAUUGUCUAAUCAAGACCAACAAGAAUUGGAAAUCAUGCCAAUUGGGUAAUUUCUAUGCAUCCGAACUUUCAUUUGUUGUUAUUUUUAAUCUCCAAUUCACUACCCUAAUUUAUUUUCCCCAAACUGUUUAUAAAAUUAAUUUUAUUUAUAAGUGAAGAAACUUACUUAUUUUUGUGCAUUAAUUAUUAACGGUAUUUUAUAUAACUUUCUACGAGACGUUUCUGCUCUAUUUGUUUUAUUUUUUUUGGAUCGAUUCAUGCUGAAUGUUAUGUUUACCUCGAUGCUUUAUUAACCGUUGAUCUUGAUUUUGUAUCAUUUUAAACAUUCAAAUCUUCAAAUCCAUCUUUGUUUCAUCUAUUUAUCCUUCAUUUGGAGCCGAUGAGGCGUUCAAGUCCAGGCUUGGAAUUUGAGCACAAGUUCUCGAGUGAAUUUUCAGAGGGGGAUAAAGACGGUGAAUUUGUUGAGAAAUUCAAGUCAAGUAGGGUAUGCAUUUUCUACUUCUUUUGAUUGCAUGUCUAUGUUCAAUCUAUGAUUAGUUUGAUAGAACUAUUUCACAAGGUGAAGACAGAUUUUUUACUCGUAGUGUUGCUGUUCGUAGUUCAGUUAUCUAAUUCAGUCCUUGUUAAACCUUGAAAAGAAUGGGACAGCGACAUCUGAACAUGUUGGGGUCAUUUACUUUUCCUUGAUUUGCUAGAGAGCAAGUUCGAAAACAUGGAUUUCUAAGUUUUGUAAUUGGACUCAUAAAAACUUCAUGCAUCAUACAAGAUGUUUCCAACUGUAAAUAAUUGGAUUAGAAAUUCUUACAGAAGUUUCUUCUUAAGGAAAUAUAGACAAUGAACACAUGAGAAUAGACGAUUUAGGAUUUACUACUAGUUUGCUAUGCUCUUCACAUUGACAUAUCUUGAGGUGCUAUCUGGUGGUUUUGUUGUACUACUCAAGAAUCCCCAAAUAAACAUGUAAUUAUCUAGUUGAGUUCUAAUUAUCAAUCAACUGAAACAAUUUAGUUGCUUAUCUCCAAUGUCAAUUCUUCUCAGUUUCAACAGUAAAACAGAGAUCAAUUUACAGGGAUCCAAAUGAUCCAAAGUUGGUACAUCUUAUUAAACUUAUGUUCGCUUGAUAUUUUUAGUUUUGCGUAUUGUACCUUGCUACCUUUUGCUACCUUUUGACUUGCUGAAGAGAUGAUAAUGUUUUCUAUUUAACUGUUGCAUAAAUGUACAGUUGAAUAGGGUAAACCAAAAAAUCUUGCUGAUAAAUGAUAAGUAUUGCUAAAAGGAAACCAAUGGGGAAAACCUGUAGGUUAAAAAUUGUCAAUCAUAUGCAGUCUUCUAUACUAUCCAGAAAGCUAGAGAAAUCCAUGUACACAUGUUGUGUCUGUUAAAGUGCUAUAGCACUUCACUAAAUAUUUUUUGUACCUAAUGCAGAAAGUUCCCCCUUUUAAUGUGCCAGACCUACUGGCAUGUUUAGUUAGGCAGUCUAGCCCAUUUUUGGAUCAAAUUGGCAUUUAUAAAGGUAUGUGGUUGAUUAUGGUGAAGUUCUAUUCUUGGUGAACUACUGGCAUGUUUAGUUGAGAGCUUUAUUCACUUGAUAAAUGGACUAUAUUUGCAUGGUUUGCAUAGUUCUUGAGAAAAUGUCAUCUUGCUUUAGUCCCCUGGUUCAUCUCAUAUUUAAUCGAAUACAGUUUAUUUGGUGCACUUGUAUCUGCCUAUUUGACUGUAUUGUUUAUACAAACUUGGGAAUUAAUUGGUUAAGAAUUUUCCUUAGUCAUUCUCCAUCCAAGUGAAAUUAUAACUGUUUUGUUAUACUUCUAAAUACUCUUUCUUUAUGUGCAUUCUUUAUCAUCAUGAACACGUCCUCGUAUUAAAAUUUUAAUUUUUUUUAAGGCUUUUAAAUAUCCUCUAAUCUUUCCCUUAUUUUUCUUUCACAUAGGUUUUGCAGAGCUAUCAGCUGAUUUAUGGGCUGUUUUAUAUCUUGUGAAUUGCGUUUGUAGGAUGAGAUGGGGACUUGUGCGUCCAAACUUUAAAAUGCAUGUUGCUGAAUGAUUUUAUAUAUAGUCAGGAUCUACACAAGACUCAAUAUUUUUUACCACGUCAACUACCUUCCAAUGUAUGCAGUAUACAGAGAGAGUUAAAAAGAAGAACGUGAUACUCGAGAGGUAGAAUAUAUAGUUUGAGUGAAGAUGGAGCAAAUGAUACAGAACAAGCUGAAGGUAGUUGAGAACAACUCAAUUAUACGUUGUGAGAUUUAGUAGCAUAUCUAUUUCAUGGGGGUGAAGACUUACGUUUUUUUGGCUGCAUAUAUAUAGAUCAUUUUUUAUAUUGUUUUUAAGUUUAUAUGUAACUAUACUUCAUGAAUAAUUUUUAUUUGAGUUUUGGUGUAAUAGUUUGGAUUCAAGGUUACAUUGAUUGGCACUACA
rnacentral:lncRNA from 1 species